ACUUUCCAGGUUUAACGAAACUUUAAUUGGAAAAUUUGUUUUCAACCGCUCGCAGCCAUCCUAUCGCAUGAAGGUCUACAGCACGACACCACCUUACCAAAGGAAGCAUUGCACGACCCUCUUAUAUAACGAACCAGAAACGUAUAACUGCAGCGUCAUGCUUAUAUCUGAAGCCACCACCGGAUCGUGCUACAAUCUCAGUGGAAGUGCAUUGGCUACCGCGAAGUGCUCGAUGUACGUGCGCGGACAUCUUCCUAAACUCACGGCCGCUCCACGUAAUUGCCAGAUGUGGUUCAACAAUUGCAGCUCCUCGAGACAAGUUUACAUGCCAUACAGUGAUAAGUGUAAAGUUUAUUGAAUGGGCACUGAGGGUUGCAAGUCUUAUGGCUUGCGGCAAUAUCAAUAAUUAUCUUUUUGCAAAGCAAUAAAACCAUUUGA
rnacentral:lncRNA from 1 species